CAUCGAAAAAAAAGAAAAUGAACUUGAGUUAACAGGCAUUGAUUUAUUUUUAAAAUUCUUUGCCGCGAAAACUAAAACGUUUUGCGUAUAAAUGAACUUAAGCUUUGCGACUUAUUUUCCUUGCCUUACCUAGCCACAGGUCGAUGACGCGCCAGUUACAUGCGUCAUCCGCCAGACACUCCCCCGAAGCCAGCGAGGAUGGCUGCGCGCGCGUUUGAGCGCUCGCGCGCGGCGACGCGUCUGUCUCAUUCUUUUUUUUCUUUUUUAAAUGUAACCUGGUUUAUUGGGCUCUCGGCGUAUUCUUGCGUUCAUUCUGCACUGGGACAAGACACCACUGCACUAUUGGACUACGGCAAGCUGGUACCGUCCGGUGGAGCUUCAUACAGAAACUACUGCCUUACCUGCUGGUGUCACAACGUUGUAUGAACGCACAAAAAGCGCGGAACGAGCUUUUAUAUAGAGCAAAAUAAAUAUUUCCUCAUUGCACAAAA